rnacentral:lncRNA from 10 species
GUGCGCGUGCGCAGUGUGUUUUCUCUGUAAUUCUGGGCCGUGUUCCGGAAGCCUCGUAAGACAAAAGCGAACGAGAGGCGGAAAAAAGGAAGACGCUUCCUGAAGUUGGGGAUGCUGGACUAGUUUUCAUACUAGAUCCCCUCGUGGCAGCAUUAAGGAACUUCACAUUCUUCUCACACUAUUCAUGGAAAGUUCCUGGAACUCCCACAGCAGCAAGAAAACUUCGCUUGUAGGAGUCCUUAGCACAUCUGUAAAGUUUUAUUGGCCAAAAUGUGAUACAUCUCCAUUUCUGGAUCAGUCACUGUGGUCAAGUGCAAGACGCUCUACAGGACUCAACCUGGGGAUGAGGUCUGUCUACUCCAUCCAUAUGGUCACUUUAUACUGAGGUUGGGUAAGUACUCCUAAGGAAAUCAGGUUUGUUUUGGUUGGAAAAAAAAAAUGGAAAUGGAUGCUGAGGUAACAGCCAACAAAUAUCUACUAUUUUCUAAGAUGUGUUUGAAACUAAUGCAAAAAAGCUCUGAGAUUAAGAUGUGUAUGUAGCUCAUCAGUUUAGUUGUAUUUCCUAUAUAUAAUAUUUAUGGUACCUAAACUAUUACUAAGAUGUUUAUUAUUUUAUUUAAAAUUUGGUUGAGGUUUUCUAUAUCAUCCUAAACCUAAGUUUGGAAAUAAAGAUUUAAUGCUAUAUGACAGGUACAAUUGCUAUCUUUUAGUGAAAAGUCCUAAAAAUCUUAUGGUUGAGAAUACAAUAUUUACUUUCUGGAAGCUCUGCUCACAAACUUUCUGGACAAAGAGCAUUAUCCACAAUCACUGCUAACUAAAAGGAUAGAGAAACUUUUCUUAGGCUUUCCUCCAGGAUUGUCUGUACUUAAUCAGCUCCCCUAUAUAUUCUCAAAUAGCCUCUGAAAAUAUACCCUUUGUCCCUUUUUCAACAAAUCCCAUAAUUCUUUAUUUUUUCUUCCUCAUAGUUACUUUCAGACAUUUACAAUGUCUUAAGAGUAUUAUACAAAUUGAAUAGAAUGAAUUGUGCAAAAUAACAAUAUGUUGUAGGUCCAAAAGAACUAUAUCUUUUAUGUCUGAGAAAAAGUUUUAAAAUCAGCACCUACACAGCAAUAAAUGGUUUAAUGAUAGCCUUUUAAGUGCACCAUCAGAGCC